rnacentral:rRNA from 1 species
CCCUAUGGGGUGCAGCAGGCGCGGAACCUCCACAAUGCACGAAAGUGUGAUGGGGGGAUCCUCCGUGCCCACGUUCUACGUGGGCUUUUGCCAAGAUUAGAUACCUUGGCGAAUAAGGGGUGGGCAAGACUGGUGCCAGCCGCCGCGGUAACACCAGCGCCUCAAGUGGCAAUCGCGAUUAUUGGGCCUAAAGCGUCCGUAGCCGGAUAGACACAUCCACUGUGAAAUCGUCGCGCUCAACGUGACGGCAUGCAGUGGGCACGAUCUAUCUCGAGACCGGGAGGAGUUAGAGGUAUGCCGUGGGGACUGGUAAAAUGGGAUAAUCCACGGUAGACCACCAAUGGCGAAGGCAUCUAACUAGAACGGAUCUGACGGUGAGGGACGAAAGCCAGGGGAGCGAACCGGAUUAGAUACCCGAGUAGUCCUGGCUGUAAACGCUGCGAGCAAGGUGUUGCCUAUCCCACGAGGAUGGGCAGUGUCGAAACGAAGGUGUUAAGCUCGCCGCCUGGGAAGUACGGUCGCAAGACUGAAACUUUAAGGAAUUGGCGGGGGAGCACUACAAGGGGUGCGGCGUGCGGUUUAAUCUAACUCAACGCAGAGAACCUCACUAGAAGCGACGGCAGGAUGAAGAUCAGUCUAAAAGGCUUAUCUGACGAGCCGAGAAGAAGUGCAUGGGCCAA